rnacentral:lncRNA from 1 species
CCUUCUUCAAUUGCAGGUGUAUAUCUAGUCUAGUAGUUAUAAAAUUAAAUCACACAUGCUCAACUAAAGUACCAGACUCAAGCGAAAUACCUUGCUACUCUCAAUCAAACAAACUACACGCUCAGUCUUGUAAGCAGGGAACAUACCAUAUAUUUUCCUACCUUUGUUAGACAUACAUACUUACUCUCUUUAUCUUUAACUCUUCCUUUCUAUCCACACAAAAGUUUAUAAACUAGUCAUGUGUAAUCCUAAGCCAACUUCAGCAUCUUCAUUUCUCAGUUCCACAAAAUUUCACCCAAAUGUUGUGUAUCCUUCCCCUGAUGAUCUACCCUCAAUGAGAUAAUGAAACAGAAUAUAGUUAAUACAAGGAAAAUCAAGUUGUAGUACCAUACAAAUAACUGUGAUUUUGCAUCCAUAAAAGCAGUAGCCACGUAAACCAAUAUUAACAGACCGGAGUGUCUACUUCCCUUUCAUCCACAUAAUCACCAGAAAAUCGAAAUGAUGAUGCGUACCUAAAGAAUCAGAAAACACUAUCACCAUUAGAUUAUGAAGAAAGCAAUUAGCAGUUAAAGCAAUGAGUAAAGUAGGUAAACAGCUGAAAAACAAAUUAAGUGACAUCAUAUCAGAAUAAGUAUUCUUUUAAAUUUCCCCUUUUCAUAUGCAUACUGUAUAAACAUCAUCACAAUUUCAAAGUAAAAUGUCCAAUAUUUAUGAAUUUGUGGACAGGCUUAUGGAGCAAAGCAAUGGAAGCAAUAACCUUAAAAUAAUUAAAAAAACAAGUUUUUAAUAAUACAGUUAACUUCUCUUAUAGUAUAUUUGAUUAAAUAUGAUUUCCAGGGUUUGGACGGUGAGGCAACUGAGCCUAUGAUUAAAGAGUUGGAGGAAGAUAGAGAGGAGUCUCAGGAUCCAGAGGUUGAGUUUGCCAUAGCAGGUGCUAUUCGGGUGGUGGACUGGAGAUACUACUGGCCAUGAUUCAGGUUUGCAAUUUUUUCAUUGAUAUCUGUUGACUUGAACAUUGUUGUAUUCGGAAAUUUCAACUACUUUAAUGUUUGCAGUGAUAAGGAAUCAAUUCUUUUUUAAUUAAAAAUUCAUGCAUGGAAAAUACAUCAACUGUGAAUUAAUGUGUUUAACAACCGCUUGGAAGUGAUUAUUUCUUAAGUUCAUUUGCCAUUUGCUGGGAACUCUUUCUAAGUUGGACCGCUGUAUAUUCACAGUUUUUAUAAAUCUGCCUCUUAUUUUGAAUACACUAGCCUACAACAUUGUAGCAUCUAUAGAAGUUGAAGUAUUACAAUAGUAUUAACAUUGAUAAUAUUUAUUUCUUAGAGAUACUGACGUGAUAUAUAUUUUAUUAUUUCUAUCUGUAUAAAGCUGAAUACAAAGAGAGCCUUUAUAGAAGCUACCCUCGAAAGCAAAAAGAAAAACACCCAAAACAGAGUCUUUAUAGAACUCUUUAAGAAAACUUACAAAAUGAUGAUCUCAAGCAGGGGUUGUAUAUCGAAAUGAUUCAUGAUGACGAUGUUUAAGAUUUUGUAUUUUGAUUUUUCUAAUGUUCAGAAGGUAUGUUCUUAAUUUAGAUUUGCAAAAUUGCAAUUAUGUAUUAGUUGUUAUUUUUAUAAAUUUCUAUGCAUAUAUUAAUAUGUAUCUUACAUGUAUUGUUUCUUUCUUAUAUAUUUGCAGAAUAAUCAUAUAUGUAUCAUAUUUGAUUCACGUAUGAUAUCUAUGUAUCAUAGAGAUUACUUGCUUCAUCUGGGAAAGUGUGUUGGAUCUGUCUUACCAUGAAGAGAAUUUCUUCAAUAACAAUAGAGAAAACCACUAACUAUUUAGCUUCGUUGUGCAUAUACAAAGAACCAAUUAUCUUUAACUUAGUAUCCCAUCACAAAAUUAUAUGCAGAAAAUCUUACCAGCAGUCCAUGGACAGUAAAUGUGAAGUUUGAACUUGACAGGGUUUUACUAUCUCUAUCUCCUUUGUGUUCUCUCAGUCACCUCUUCAAGUACUCAACACACACAGCUCCACAACUACUUCCAGCCCCUACCUUGUUGUUAAAAACCAGCACCCGAAAACCUGCACUUACCACAUCUUGGGCUGCUACUAUAACAUCUGGAAUAUGGCUAGCUAUAUCAGAGCUUGGAGGUCAGCACAAAAUCUGCCUUUCCUGCUAGCCCUGCACCAGCAACACCAGCAUCCAUCAAAACUGAAAUGGCAUCAGAGGAUUUGAAAAAAACCCCUACAGAGGCUUAAACACUUAAGCACGUCUGAAACCUACUUUCCUUCAUCCAGCAUCCAUCACUAGGCUUCCUCUUCAUACCAAAACCUCCCAUAGCUUCAUAAAACUCCAAUCAACCACUAAACAAUCUACCUUCUUAUAGUGAAAAGUUUCCUGUGAUUUGGACCAUGCAGGAAGUGAUUGAUGGAGGAUAGCUAUAACAGGCAGAGGAGUGGAAUAUGGAGAUGCUUGAGAGAUGGAGACUUUGAAGAAGAUGAAGUUUGGGCUGUUUUUGAGGACAGACCUGAUUACAAUAUUUCUGGUGUUCACAAGCCAAAGGAAAAAGGGUCUUCUCCUCUCGCUGUUCCCAGGACUCUUCCAAGUGCUGCAAGGAUGAUUCCAAGGACUAGUAGUGGCAAUAAUAGUGCUAGUUCCUCUCAUGAAACCAAGGUUCUUCAGCAAUCAGCACCUCUCAACAUUCCUGACUGGUCACAGAUUUAUAGGAACAAGCCAAACAAAGACCCCGUGAGUGUUUCAAAGUUUGGUGACUAUGAUGAUUUCUACUAUUCUGUUGGUGGUGAAGGUGAUGGUGAUGGUAUUGUUAAUAUGGUGGAGGAGGGUAUAGUGAUGAUGAGGAAGAAGAAGAUCAUGAGUAUGACACAAAGCUCCUCCCACAUGAGUUUAUUGCAAGAAGGCUUUUCAGGACUCAAAUAUCCUUAUUUUCAGUUUUUGAAGGCGUUGGAAGGACCUCAAGGUUAGGGAUCAUAGCCAACGUAUUCAAAAUCGAGAUCUUACUUAGGAUAGAAAAGAUAUACAUGAAUUGUAAAUCAGAAGAUCGUAACACGGAUCGUAAGAUCCUAAAAAUUUUAUGAAAUUCAUAAUUGAACCUCAUAAGUACAUAAUUAGGUGUAAGCAACACAUCCUAUCAUAAGAGUAACCAUUUAUUAGUUACAAAACAUUGAGAAAAUAACAAUCUAUCUAAACCAAAUAAUCUUGUAAGUUAAAUUCAUAUUCAGCUUCAUGAUUUUCAUCUCCUUCAUCAUUCAAAUCAGUCAUGUCUAAGUGAUGACUAUGUAAAGAUUCAUCCUCCUCUACUUCAAUAGGAACCAAGUUUUCAUCCAAAUCAAAUGUUUCAUAUGCUCAUGCUCAUCUUCCAUAAUCCACUGGUCAUCGGAUGAACAAUCAUCAAUAUUAAUUUGAGUUGGUUUUCUUGUUUGCUUCUUCUUAGUUAAUUUUUAAUUAGCCAUAACAAAAACAACAUCAUUCAUUGUGCUUUGCUUUAGCCUAUUUCUUCUCUUUGUGUGGACCUAAACAAAUGUAAAGACAAAUAUUAUAAGUAAUUAGUGGAUUAGUAGUAGACUACUAAUUUUAUUCUAGAGAUAUAUUUUAAGUUAACUUAUCUUCUCAAAGGAACUCCAGUUAUGCUCACAUCCGAAAGAGCUAUAUGUCAAGCUCAAUACAUGAAUGACAACCUUUCGGAGUUCUGGAUAUUCAUCAGCAUAAGACUCCCGCCAAUCUGCGGGAGUCUUUAAAUUGAUUGACCUAACAACCAUGGGACAACCAAAAAAUUUUGCUCGUUUUUUGAAAUCAUCAAUUUGAACAUCAAUGAGAGUUUGUUCAUCCUCAUUCUCCACCAUCCUAGUUAUGCAUUCCAUUAGGCCUCGCUUCACCUCCAAAACUUCUUUAAAUCUAGGACGAUAAUGCAUUUGAGGGUUAAGAAAAUAGCCUGCAGCAUGCAAAGGUCUAUGGAGUUGCUUGUCCCACCUUUCAUCAAUGGUGUUCCACAAAGGCAAACAGCUAACCAAAAUAUAUUACAUUGAGUUAGAUUUUUUUUUUAAUUUCAAAAUCACCAUCUCAACAAACAAAUACAUAAAAUACUUUUUUUUGACACCAUUGAAAGCUUUUUGUAUCUUCUCUUUAGCUUGGUCCACUGCUUCAUAAAUGAAACCCAUGUCUGGCUUUUGAUCCGAAUCAACUAAUCGAAGCACUUCAAUAAGAGGCAAUGCACCCUUCAAACAUAUUAUGACAUUCUUCCAAAAAUUCUGGUCUAAAACCACCUCUUCAACUAUUUUUGUUUUAGCAAACUUGCUAGACUUCCAUUCAUCACUAGUAAACAUUAUGAUUAAAGCUCUCUUAUUCUCAUGGAGGCACCCUAAUGUUAAAAAAGAUGUAGCAAACCGAGUAAUACCCGAUCUUACCAAAUCUCUAUCCUUUGUGAAAUGAUGAAGUAGAGAUAUUAGAGAAGAUCUUGAAUAAAUAAAGGUAGUAAUUUUUUUACCUUUUGGAAUGGUACCUUCAUGGAUUGAGAUUUUCUUCUCAUAAUCCUCCAACAUUAAAUCCCCACAAUGUGCAACACAAGGUGUUCAAAAUAACUUUUUUCUCUUUGACAUCAACAUUUGACCAAAAACUUUCUAGUUUGUUGCAUUAUCAGUGACAACCUGAAUGGCAUUGUCUUCCCCCACCUCUUCAACAAUGUAGUCCAUCAUCUAAAAAUUUUUUUUAGUUGUUUUAGAUAUAGUAGAUGCAUCUAUGGAUUUUAGAAAUACAGUUUCAUUUGGGCUGUUCACCAAGAAGUUUAUUAUUGUCCUUCUUUUCUUAUCAUUCCAACCAUCAGUCGUAAUCGUACAUCCCGUUUUCUUCCAUUCAUCCCUAUGUGAUUGUAGAGCAAAUGAUGUAUUUGUAACUUCCUCCUUCAAAUAUUUGACUCUAAUGUCAUGAUAGGAUGAAGGUUUAAAUCCAAGACCAUGUCUUGAAACCAAAUCAAACAUAGCAGUGAAUUCUUCACUCUUUGCCACAUUGAAAGUAUAACAUUGUUAUAAAUGAACCUAACAAUUGAUUGACAUGCCUCCUCUCUAAGACCUUUCUUAAACAUGUUGUUGAUGGUAGUUUGCUUAUUCUUAAAAAUAUUUAUGUCACUGGGACUGUUGCUGGACUGAGUGAACUCUUCCUCACUAUUUUUUCUUUUCUCACUAGCUUUUGCCAUUUCCUCAUCAUUCAAAGUAAGACUUGAUUUGAUGGCAAUCUCAUGAAGUUCUUCUUAGAAUCAUGUAAAGGAUGGUGCGGAAGCCAUGGAUGUGUGUGUGCAAGAUCCUCCUAAAAGCUAUGGUGAUCUUGAAGGUGCAUGGUAUGUAUGGAAGUUGGGAGGUUCGGCCAGCCCAAGGAAAGGUGAAGGAUGUGAAGAUUAGAGCCUAGAAUCUAGGUAGAAGCAAAGCUUGGCACAAAAAUGGCAGCAUAACUUUACUCACAAUAAUCUUCCCAAUACAAGGUGUAGGCUCCUCUUUUUAUAGGCUAAAGAGGACCAGAUUUGAUGACCUAAAUGCUACACAAAUGUAAGCCAAAUGAAAUGGAAAAUGUGAAGCACAUGGGUGCACAUGGCACAUGGGUGCACAUGGUCCUUUAUUAGUAAAGGCUUCUAGAAACCUUUAGCUAAUCAAGGUUAAUGCUUCCUUAAUUCUAAUGUGCAGAAAAGUAAACAUUUGUCCACAUGGCUAUGCUAUUUACACCCCAAUUAAAGCUAAACUACACUUGUUGGGCCUUGACGGAAUAUGUGCUAUUAGGCCUUUUCCCAUUCAUAGCUUGAUCCAAGUCUUCUUGUUCUAGACGCUCUUGGCUUGGUCUUAGACGCUCCUAGCUUGGUUUUAGACGCUCCUAGUUUGAUCUUGGACGCUCCUAGCUUGAUCUUUAGGCGCUCCUAGCUUGGUCUUAGAUGCUUGGCUUGGGUCUAGACGCUCUUGGCUUGGGGUCUAGACGCUCUUGAUUUGGCUCUUGCCUUUCAUGGAAGGUUGUGCUUGACCCUCUUCCAUCAUGAUUUCUUAUUUAAUUUUUAUUGCAAACCAACAACAAUUUCCCUCAUCUCCUUUUUAACUUUAUCAUAAGCAUCCUUGCCUGCUCCAACAUCCUUUUGAGUACCGGUCAUGUGAUUCUUCAAUCGAUAAACUCCCCGGUUAAUACCUUUUGACAAUAUUUGCAUUGAAGUUGUCUAGUAUCCCCAACAACUGAGAUACAAUGCUUCCAAACAACAUCACUCCUCUUUCUUGGAGUAUUUUUGGGAGUCACUGCCACGGGUAUAAAAGUAAUUUUAAUGAUGGGAAUUUGGGACUGUAGUUUGGGUUGCAGUGUAAAAAAAAACAAAAGAAAAAAAAACUGCACUUGGUUGUAGUAAGAAAAAUAGAGAAAAAAAAGCUGCACUUGGUUGCAAUGAGAAAAUGAGAAAAAAAAAGUUGCACUUGAUUAUACAGAGAAAAAAAACAUAGGAGAGAGGGACUGUAGUGGGGAAGUUGAAAGGGAAUGGGAGAGGAGGGCGGGAUUCUAUUUGCAUGGCUUAAAAAUAAUUAAUUAAAAAUUAAUUAUGUUGAAGUUGUAACGUUUUUUAGUAAAAAAUUAAAAAUUUCAAUGUGCAGUAAAUGAUUUCUUUCACUGUGCGGUAAGUGGAUUCUUUUUAGUUAUUGAGUCCAUAUGUUGUUGCCUCCUUCUUAAACAGAAACCCUAAUCUCAAACUAUCCCAUAUGUUGCUGCUGCCUCCCUCUUAAAUAGAAACCCUAAUAUUAACUACCCCAUCUGUUAUUGCUGCCACACCACAGCCACCGUGUCGCACAUCGUCGCGUCAUGACACUAUAAAUGCUACCGCGCCGUCGCAACGAUGAUGUCAGAAGCGCUGCGUGUGGCGAUUUCUAGUAUCGUGAAACUCAACGAUUCCAUGCGAGUUGGAAUUUAUAACACCGAUUCCACAUGAUCCGCCAAAAUCGUAUUAUUCUGCUGAUUGCAGAUCGGCACCAUGAGUAUACAUCGUAAAAUUGUAUGAUCUUACGAUGCAACUCGCGAUUUUGACUACCAUGAUCUUAGCAAAGUGAGGAAUGUUGUUCUCACAAAAACUGGUUUCCUUGAAUUACUGUAAAAGAGGUUUCCAUGAAUCAAAUUUGUUAUGUAUAGGGGGUAGCCAAUGGUUGGUUAGUUAAUGAGAUUUUGUGCAUGUUGUGUAUAGGGGGUAGCCAGUGUAUCGUGAAUUCUGAUUUCACGAUACUGUCAUGCAUUCUAUUAAGUAAGAAAUUAAAAAUUAGUUUCAAUGUGACAGAGAUUGAUGGUGUGAUACUGUUUUAGAACAAGGCUAUAAAACCAUGCAACAAGAUCAUCUGAACUGGAGGAAGCUUGUGUAAUGGUGGAUGGAGAUGAAAUUCAAUUACCUCCCAAAGAAAGUGGUAAUUUGAAUACUAACAAGGUACACACUUUCAACUCACCCCUCCUCUUUAUUUCAUACAUAUUCAAACUCAACUCUAACUAAAACAUUUUUCCAUUUUAAGAUAAAAUCUGCAACAAAGCAAGAAUAUAAGGAGCUUGCAGCAUGGUAUCUUAACAGUGAAAAAGCAAAGGGAGAUUGCAUGGAGAAUUUUGAUCCAACUUUACCACAGGAUCAUAAGAAAUCACUUCUUGGUAGUAUAUAUGAACCUGAGUGGGAUAUUCUCUAACUCUAACACCAGUAUGAUUAAAUUGUUUAGAUACACACGUAGCCAAUGCUACUACUUUGGAUUCACUCAUUAAAUUUUACGUUUGACUGGCCAAGAGAAUGAACACAUUUUCCAUAUACAGUUAUUAUUCUUAAUUUGAGUGAAAAGAGUUUAGAAUAUAUUUUGCAGAGAUGAUUAAACCAAGUAACUAAGUAAGAAUAAACAAAGAACAAUGUUCAUGAGUUGAUGGGAGGUAGUGUACAGAACCAUGGUUCGACUUAAAUUCCCUGGUUAAGCAUUUCAUCAACUAGAUUAUCCACAAAAGCAGAUCACAAAAGCUAAUUUAUAUUAUUUUACCUGAGAAUUUUAGGAUGGUCCUUAUAUGGCUUAACUCUUUGAAUAUAAUCCUCUUUUUGUGCCUAACAGAAGUAAUAACCUUCAAAGAGUUUCUGAAAUUAGUCACACAUUAUUAAUAUGAUCCAAACACACAACCAAUCAGGGUUUUCCAUCAAAUUAAUGAGUCCUUUAAAAUUACUAUCCCUACAAUGUUGGGAUAAGGAAUCUGUUUUGUCAGUAUGAACAUCAAAAGACAUAAAAACCCAUUAGUCUUCCAGCCAGUACUUCCAAAGAUAAAUAAAUUUUCAGCCAAAUUUUUUUGACAAUGUCAGCAAUUACAGUCAAGAAUCAUGACUCGUGAGCAUUAUUAUGAAAUCAACAUUGAGUGUAAGAAAACAAUGCUUAUUAAAAUAAUAGAUAGUGAAGAAGUAGAGCUGUAACUUAUUCAAAUCUAAUCCAAAUUACAUUUUACAGAUGCAUAUGGCAGAAGAACAACUCUGCUCACUGUCAAACAAAUUGGUUUUAAAAAUUGUUCUCUUAAACAAUUCCAACUACUUAAUAAUCAAUUUCUCAUCCAAAAUCCAUCAGUUUCUGAAAAAUUUUCACGAAACAACAGAAAAAAGCUGAGAAAUGGUAUACCACUGAGAAUCGAGAUGGGGCAAAACCUAAGGUCUUCAACUCGCGGAGACUCGCAAAGAUUGAAAACGGAAGGCAAAACCUUAACUCGCGGAGACUCACAGUUUCGUUUGCAUUCUCACGGUGGCACGACUACUCCAUCAUGGUGGCACGCACUGCUGCUCAAGCUCAAGCGCUCGCACUCCAUUGAAAAUGCUCAAUCUCGCAUUCCAUCCUCAAUACAUUAAUUUCACUCGAAAAUGCUAAGCUUGUAAUUUCACUAGGUCUCACAUUGAAAGGGACUCUUGUUUAGUAUUUUC